rnacentral:rRNA from 1 species
UACGUAGGUGACAAGCGUUGUCCGGAUUUACUGGGCGUAAAGAGCGCGCAGGCGGUCGAUCAAGUCGAGUGUGAAAGCCCCCGGCUCAACUGGGGAGGGUCAUUCGAUACUGAUCGACUCGAAGGCAGGAGAGGGUAGUGGAAUUCCCGGUGUAGUGGUGAAAUGCGUAGAUAUCGGGAGGAACACCAGCGGCGAAGGCGACUACCUGGCCUGUUCUUGACGCUGAGGCGCGAAAGCUAGGGGAGCAAACGGG